CAGGACGAACGCUGGCGGCGUGCCUAAUACAUGCAAGUCGAGCGGACUUAUUCGGAUAGCUUGCUAUUUGGAUAAGUUAGCGGCGGACGGGUGAGUAACACGUGGGUAAUCUGCCUCGUAGACUGGGAUAACAGGCCGAAAGGUUUGCUAAUACCGGAUGAGUUCAUGUUUAUGCAUAUUGACAUGAAGAAAGGGGAAACCCGCUAUGAGAUGAGCCCGCGCCCCAUUAGCUAGUUGGUAGGGUAAAAGCCUACCAAGGCGACGAUGGGUAGCCGGCCUGAGAGGGUGGACGGCCACACUGGGACUGAGACACGGCCCAGACUCCUACGGGGGGCAGCAGUAGGGAAUUUUCGGCAAUGGGCGAAAGCCUGACCGAGCGACGCCGCGUGAGGGACGAAGGCCUUCGGGUUGUAAACCUCUGUCUGGGGGGAUGAGAAUGGACGGUACCCCCGGAGGAAGCCCCGGCUAACUACGUGCCAGCAGCCGCGGUAAUACGUAGGGGGCGAGCGUUGUCCGGAAUUACUGGGCGUAAAGGGCGCGCAGGCGGUCAUGCAAGUCGGUUGUGAAAGUCUAGGGCUUAACUCUAGGAUGCCGGCCGAAACUGUAUGGCUUGA
rnacentral:rRNA from 1 species